rnacentral:lncRNA from 1 species
CUGCAUUCUAGGCCUUUCAAAGACAAGAAGACAAAAAAGAUCUUAAUCCCAAACAAGUGAAAACUCUCUGGCUGAGGAGUAGCAGACCGGAGCAGGAUAGUGAAAGGAUCAUGUAAGGCUUAGGAGAUAAAAAUAGUUGAUCAUUAUUCUUCAAGGGACUAACCCCUCUUCCUGGAGAAGAGAAUCUUACAAGAUGAAUUAACUCUACUCCUCACAUCUUUCAACUCCAUUUCACUCCCUAAAAGCAUCAAGGAGUUAAGCCAACUUAUGACAUUGUAUAUUUCAUUUAUUCAACAAGCAUUUCUUGAGGGCCUGCUGCACGUCAAGAAAUCUACAGCAGUGAAGAAGUUAAACCCGACCCCAGCCUGUGAAGAGUUUACAGUCUUUUGGCGCUGACUGCCGCUCCAAACAUGUCAUGCAGCAGUGACGUAAACUGGAAGGAGCACUGGAGUCCAAGUCAAGAAAACUGAGGUCAAAACUUGGCUUUGCCUUUGACCUCAUACAUGACCGUGAGCAGACUACGUGAGUCUCCCCGAGCCUUAGUAAAAUGAGGGAUGUUUGUGAGCUACCCCAUGGUUUACUUGCUGCUUGUGUUCCUCAGAGCGCAGAGCAUCUUGAAGGCAAGAUGGAGGGAGAGGCAACAUGGCAUCAACCACAACUACUUGCGCAGUGGGGAGGAACAGGUGUUCCGUCUCUGUCUUGGAGAUGGGAGACGCAGCAGUUACCAACUGCAAAGUUAACUGUUCAAAACAUAGGAGCCAAAUUCCCAUCCUGGGAGCAAGCCAUCCUCCCGUGGCCAGCACCGUGCAUCCUUCCCAGAAGAUGAUGAUGGGGAGAAGCAGAUGCUUCUCCUGCCAGCUUUGAAAAAUCAUCUUACACUAUGGCCAAACCCAAGGGCAUCGUUACCCUGGGAAGCUGCAGGGCUGUGGUGGGAGGCAGGGUAGUGCUGAGAAGGCACUGGAUCUGCCCUCCCAAGACAGAGAUGAACGGUCCUGCCUCCACCACCUCCUGUUGGAGCAAGUCACGGAAACCCUCUGCACCUGGAAAAUAGAGAGUCGCUAAAGCUCGUCUUUAUUAGAUCUUUGGUUCCGUGUGCUUCUGCGAGGCUGAAGUGAGACGAUUGAC